CGUAGGGUGCAAGCGUUGUCCGGAAUUAUUGGGCGUAAAGAGCUCGUAGGCGGUUUGUCGCGUCUGCUGUGAAAACCCGGGGCUCAACUCCGAGUUUGCAGUGGGUACGGGCAGACUAGAGUGCGGUAGGGGAGACUGGAAUUCCUGGUGUAGCGGUGGAAUGCGCAGAUAUCAGGAGGAACACCGGUGGCGAAGGCGGGUCUCUGGGCCGUAACUGACGCUGAGGAGCGAAAGCAUGGGGAGCGAACAGGAUUAGAUACCCUGGUAGUCCAUGCCGUAAACGUUGGGCGCUAGGUGUGGGGCUCAUUCCACGAGCUCUGUGCCGCAGCUAACGCAUUAAGCGCCCCGCCUGGGGAGUACGGCCGCAAGGCUA
rnacentral:rRNA from 1 species